rnacentral:rRNA from 1 species
GUAGGGAAUAUUGGGCAAUGGUCGGAAGACUGACCCAGCCAUGCCGCGUGCAGGAAGACGGCCCUCUGGGUUGUAAACUGCUUUUAUCUGGGAAGAAAAAGGCCAUGCGUGGCAAAUUGCCGGUACCAGAUGAAUAAGCACAGGCUAACUCCGUGCCAGCAGCCGCGGUAAUACGGAGGGUGCGAGCGUUGUCCGGAUUUAUUGGGUUUAAAGGGUGCGUAGGCGGCUGAUUAAGUCAGCGGUGAAAGACUUCGGCUUAACCGGAGCAGUGCCGUUGAUACUGGUUGGCUUGAGUGUCGGAGGGGUACAUGGAAUUGAUGGUGUAGCGGUGAAAUGCAUAGAUACCAUCAGGAACACCGAUAGCGAAGGCAUUGUACUGGCCGACAACUGACGCUGAUGCACGAAAGUGUGGGGAUCGAACAGGAUUAGAUACCCCAGUAGUCC